rnacentral:rRNA from 1 species
GAUCCUGGCUCAGAUUGAACGCUGGCGGCAUGCCUUACACAUGCAAGUCGAACGGUAACGCGGGGGCAACCCUGGCGACGAGUGGCGAACGGGUGAGUAAUACAUCGGAACAUAUCCAGUAGCGGGGGAUAACCUAUCGAAAGAUUGGCUAAUACCGCAUACGAUCUACGGAUGAAAGCAGGGGACCGCAAGGCCUUGCACUAUUGGAGUGGCCGAUGUCAGAUUAGCUGGUUGGUGGGGUAAAAGCCUACCAAGGCGACGAUCUGUAGCUGGUCUGAGAGGACGAUCAGCCACACUGGAACUGAGACACGGUCCAGACUCCUACGGGAGGCAGCAGUGGGGAAUUUUGGACAAUGGGCGCAAGCCUGAUCCAGCCAUGCCGCGUGAGUGGAGAAGGCCUUCGGGUUGUAAAGCUCUUUCGGUGAAGACGAAACGGUUAGCGUUAAUGACGCUGACUAAUGACGGUACUCACAGAAGAAGCACCGGCUAACUACGUGCCAGCAGCCGCGGUAAUACGUAGGGUGCAGGCGUUAAUCGGAAUUACUGGGCGUAAAGCGUGCGCAGGCGGUUUGCUAAGACAGGUGUGAAAUCCCCGGGCUUAACCUGGGAAUUGCGCUUGUAACUGGCAAGCUAGAGUGUGGCAGAGGGGGGUGGAAUUCCACGUGUAGCAAAAUGCGUAGAUAUGUGGAGGAACACCGAUGGCGAAGGCAGCCCCCUGGGUUAACACUGACGCUCAGGCACGAAAGCGUGGGGAGCAAACAGGAUUAGAUACCCUGGUAGUCCACGCCCUAAACUAUGUCAACUAGUUGUCGGGGAAGAAAUUCCUUGGUAACGAAGCUAACGCGUGAAGUUGACCGCCUGGGGAGUACGGCCGCAAGGUUAAAACUCAAAGGAAUUGACGGGGACCCGCACAAGCGGUGGGUUAUGUGGAUUAAUUCGAUGCAACGCGAAAAACCUUACCUACCCUUGACAUGCUAGGAAGUCCGCAGAGAUGUGGAUGUGCCCGAAAGGGAACCUAGACACAGGUGCUGCAUGGCUGUCGUCAGCUCGUGUCGUGAGAUGUUGGGUUAAGUCCCGCAACGAGCGCAACCCUAGCCAUUAGUUGCGACAUUUAGUUGAGCACUCUAAUGGGACCGCCGGUGACAAACCGGAGGAAGGUGGGGAUGACGUCAAGUCCUCAUGGCCCUUAUGGGUAGGGCUUCACACGUAAUACAAUGGUCGGUACAGAGGGCUGCCAACCCGCGAGGGGGAGCUAAUCCCAGAAAGCCGAUCGUAGUCCGGAUUGUAGUCUGCAACUCGACUGCAUGAAGCCGGAAUCGCUAGUAAUCGCGGAUCAGCAUGUCGCGGUGAAUACGUUCCCGGGUCUUGUACACACCGCCCGUCACACCAUGGGAGUGGGUUCCACCAGAAGUAGGUAGCCUAACCGUA